rnacentral:rRNA from 1 species
AUUGAACGCUGGCGGCAUGCCUAACACAUGCAAGUCGAACGGCAGCACGAAAGAUUUCGGUCUUUUGGUGGCGAGUGGCGGACGGGUGAGUAACGCGUAGGAAUCUGCCUCUUAGCGGGGGAUAACCCGGGGAAACUCGGGCUAAUACCGCAUAAUCUCGAAAGAGGAAAGGAUGGGACCUUAGGGCCAUUCACUGAGAGAGGAGCCUGCGUUGGAUUAGCUAGUUGGUGGGGUAAAGGCCUACCAAGGCGACGAUCCAUAACUGGUCUGAGAGGAUGACCAGUCACACUGGGACUGAGACACGGCCCAGACUCCUACGGGAGGCUG